CUUCAAUCAGGCAGUUCCAGAGGAUUUGUUGGGCAACAGCACUCACUGAAGAAACAUUAAAAAGAAAUAUUUGGAGAGGAGCCCCACACAUUGGGGGGGGGGGCAAAUGCUUUUUUGGCAACUCACUGAUGACAUGAUCCACGCCAUCCUCUCGAACCUCCCCAUCCUCCAUGAGGUGCACUAUCGGCAGGACUGCAGCACAGAUGCAUGCUGGGAAGACGGCUUGGGGCGGUUGUAACAUAUGCACUGGCCAAAGAGCGGACAGACCACACAGAGCCCCGACGGAAAGAGUAGUUUCUGUGGGAGUUGCUGGAGGCGCAGGAUGGGCUGACAGACAGACGGCGUGAUGCCAGGUUCACCACUUCUUCUGCUGGCGGGA